CGUAAGUGAAUUGUCUGUCUGUCUCUACUCGCUGCUGUACACUGCCUACACUGUUGUAAUUGAUGUUUAAUUAUACUUUUUAAACUCCCUUUCAGACACAGCCUUGAUUUUGUAAAGUAUGUGCACAAAUGCAUGGCGGUUUUGUCUCAAUUGUAUGCCUAUUUGUGUACAAUUAAUUGUUCAGGAUGAUGAUGAUAAUAUGCAUGCAAACAUUUGGAAAUUUGUGAAUAAUCUUCGGACUAAUUAAAACACAUAUGAUGGAACUGUGAGGUGUAUGAAAAAUAUCUGCACUGAAAGUGCUCUAUGUGACGGCACGUAUUUUUCAGGCUACAACCUUUUUUGUCACAUACAUCAAACAUCUCCUCGCUAACACCUAGCUGCCUGUCCAAAGAACACACUGUAAAAAA